UCCAAAGCCAACCGGCCGCGGCGGCACCAGUUCUCCCGGGCCCCCAAGGACAAUCCAUGCCCACAGCUGCUCAUCCCAAGCGAGGCGGGAAAAGGCCCUCAGCGGGUGGAAGAGCAGACUGGGAACUGGAAACAAAGAAGUCCAAACUUGACCAAUUUACAAAUGAGUUUGCUGAGGAAUCGAUGGAAUAAUAAAGGAUUCCAAAGGCGCAGAGGUGUUCAGUUCCCAGGU